CUGCAGUAACAUUUGCUCCAUUGCCGACUCAAAGGGUCAUGUCACCUUCCCUCAACCUCCUACUUUCUAUCAGACCCUGUAUUGAGGUACAUAUAUGAGCACUUGAGCCAAAGUCCAAUACCCAAUUAGAAGUAGAAGAAACCAUAAGGUUAGAUUCAAUUAUGAGCAUACUUUCAAAAGGCUUAUCACUUUUUUUGAUCUUUAGGCUCUCUAGGUAUUUAGGAUAGUUCAUCCUCCAGUGGCUUUCAGCAUGACAGUGAAAAUACUUUUUCUUUACCUCGGCUGCCUUUGGACCAUCCUUCUUCUUCUUACUCUCUUUCUUUUGCUUCUUUGUAGAUU
rnacentral:lncRNA from 1 species